rnacentral:rRNA from 1 species
UACAGAGGGGGCAAGCGUUGUUCGGAAUUACUGGGCGUAAAGGGCGCGUAGGCGGCCUGUUAAGUCGGACGUGAAAUCCCUCGGCUCAACCGGGGAACUGCGUCCGAUACUGGCGGGCUUGAAUUCGGGAGAGGGAUGUGGAAUUCCAGGUGUAGCGGUGAAAUGCGUAGAUAUCUGGAGGAACACCGGUGGCGAAGGCGGCAUCCUGAACCGACAUUGACGCUGAGGCGCGAAAGCCAGGGGAGCAAACGGG